AAGCCCCGGCACCGGGGGGGGGGUGCUUCUCCGAACUUGCAUUUCGACGUACUUCCACUUCAGGG
rnacentral:tRNA from 1 species